GCCUACCAAGACGAUGAUGUGUAGCUGGACUGAGAGGUUGAACAGCCACAUUGGGACUGAGACACGGCCCAAACUCCUACGGGAGGCAGCAGUAGGGAAUUUUCGGCAAUGGAGGAAACUCUGACCGAGCAACGCCGCGUGAAUGACGAAGUACUUCGGUAUGUAAAGUUCUUUUAUCAAGGAAGAAAAGCAAAUGGCGAACCAUUUGUUUGCCGGUACUUGAUGAAUAAGCCCCGGCUAAUUAUGUGCCAGCAGCCGCGGUAAGACAUAAGGGGCAAGUGUUAUCCGGAAUUAUUGGGCGUAAAGGGUGCGUAGGCGGUCUAGUAAGUCAGUGGUGUAAUGGCAACGCUUAACGUUGUCCGGCUAUUGAAACUGCUAAACUUGAGUUAGAUAGAGGCGAGUGGAAUUCCAUGUGUAGCGGUAAAAUGCGUAAAUAUAUGGAGGAACACCAGAGGCGUAGGCGGCUCGCUGGGUCUUAACUGACGCUGAGGCACGAAAGCGUGGGGAGCAAACAGGAUUAGAUACCCUGGUAGUCCACGCCGUAAACGAUGAGUACUAAGUGUCGGGUUAAACCGGUACUGAAGUUAACACAUUAAGUACUCCGCCUGAGUAGUACGUACGCAAGUAUGAAACUUAAAGGAAUUGACGGGACUCCGCACAAGCGGUGGAUCAUGUUGUUUAAUUCGAAGAUACCCGAAAAACCUUACCAGGUCUUGACAUGUUUUUGCAAAAUGAUAGUAAUAUCGUGGAGGUUACCAGAAACACAGGUGGUGCAUGGUUGUCGUCAGCUCGUGUCGUGAGAUGUUAGGUUAAGUCCUAAAACGAGCGAAACCCUUAUCGUUAGUUGCCAGCACGUUAUGGUGGGGACUUUAACGAGACUGCCAAUGAUAAAUUGGAGGAAGGUGAGGAUCACGUCAAAUCAGCAUGCCCCUUAUGACCUGGGCUACAAACGUGAUACAAUGGCUGUUACAAAGGGUAGCUGAAACGCAAGUUCUUGGCCAAUCCCCAAAAACAGUCCCAGUCCGGAUUGAAGUCUGCAACUCGACUUCAUGAAGUUGGAAUCGCUAGUAAUCGCGAUCACCAUUCCGGGGAUCUUCCG
rnacentral:rRNA from 1 species